rnacentral:rRNA from 1 species
UUCUCCUACGGGAGGCAGCAGUGGGGAAUAUUGGGCAAUGGGCGCAAGCCUGACCCAGCAACGCCGCGUGAAGGAAGAAGGCUUUCGGGUUGUAAACUUCUUUUCUCAGGGACGAAGAAAGUGACGGUACCUGAGGAAUAAGCCACGGCUAACUACGUGCCAGCAGCCGCGGUAAUACGUAGGUGGCAAGCGUUAUCCGGAUUUAUUGGGUGUAAAGGGAGCGUAGACGGCGCUGCAAGUCCGGAGUGAA